rnacentral:rRNA from 1 species
UGGGGAAUCUUGCACAAUGGGCGCAAGCCUGAUGCAGCAACGCCGCGUGAGUGAAGAAGGCUCUUGGGUCGUAAAUCUCUUUCGGCUAGGAAGAAGGGUUCAUAGAGUAACUACUAUGAGUUUGACGGUACUAGAAGAAGAAGCACUGGCUAAUUCCGUGCCAGCAGCCGCGGUAAUACGGAAGGUGCAAGCGUUGUUCGGAUUGACUGGGCGUAAAGAGCACGUAGGCGGGCUUGUAAGUCGGUUGUGAAAGCCCCGGGCUUAACCUGGGAACUGCAGUCGAAACUACAAGUCUUGAAUACCUGAGGGGUUAGCAGAAUUCCUGGUGUAGGAGUGAAAUCCAUAGAGAUCAGGAGGAAUACCAGAGGCGAAGGCGGCUAACUGGCAGUGUAUUGACGCUGAGGUGCGAAAGCGUGGGGAGCAAACAGG